CUUCAAUUUCUUUUUCUUCUCUAAUUGCUGCAGCUAAAGUUUCUAGUACAAUGUUAAAUAAUAGAGGUGGUCUUAUUGGGAAGGCUUCUAGUUUGUCCCCAUUGCAGAUGAUGAUGUUCCCUGGUACUGUGUAUACUUGGCAUUCCCACUUUUCUGUCAUUCCUGGUCUUUACUCAAUCUUUUUUGUUGCCUCCCUCCUCUUUCCUAGUACCAGGACAGAGAUUCCUUGAAUUAAUAAUAAUGACAGAAGAAUUCAUUUUUCUGAGAUGGAGAAAACCUUACCAAAGAUGUAUAGGGAAUGCCAAUGCUGAUUAUUCUCAUUUUUAAAAUAAGGAAACUUGAGUCUGAAAGAGGUUAAUAGGCAAGAAAGGCAGAGGCAUAGAUGAGAGAAUAGCAAAAAACCAGGGAUGAAGGGAGCCCUGGUGACAAAAAGGACACGGGAUUCUCUCUGUGGUCAAGGAGAUGGCAGUGAGAGGGGUAAAUUCACUCACUUACCCAUGGUCCUCUUUGGAGAGUGCAGUGCCAAGGGUGACAAGCCUCACCUGGCUGAGAGUGGUUUGUUUGGGCCCCAUUGUCAUAGCAACAAGGGAAGGUUUGGUAACAGAGCCAGUGACUUCACAGAAGCUGGUCUUAAUUCCACAUUUCUGAAGCUCAGGGAAGAGCAGAGCCAGCCAGGAGAGAACUUGGAGGAAGAGGAAGACAAUAGAUUCCUUGGAAGAGCUCAAAGCAGGUAGAGAAAUUGAAGAAGACGAAAGAGAAGUCUUCAACCAAAGGCCCGAGGAAUGCACCCAAGGAAAAACCAGGUCAGAAGGGGCCAUAGACCAAAAGGGUAAGAACAAGAGAGAGGUGAGGGCCAGGAGAGCUGGUCAGAGGCGUGAAUGGUUGGCUGAACGCUUUGAAUGGGAAACUCAAGUUGGAGUGUGAGAGCCUCAGUGUUCACUUGAGGGUCUGAGUAACUGCUUUAAAUUUACUAAAAUAGAGAAAGUUUCUUCAUGAAUUGAGAUGCCAU
rnacentral:lncRNA from 1 species